rnacentral:rRNA from 1 species
AGUGAACGCUGGCGGUAGGCCUAACACAUGCAAGUCGAACGGCAGCACAGUAAGAGCUUGCUCUUACGGGUGGCGAGUGGCGGACGGGUGAGGAAUACAUCGGAAUCUACUUUUUCGUGGGGGAUAACGUAGGGAAACUUACGCUAAUACCGCAUACGACCUACGUGUGAAAGCAGGGGAUCUUCGGACCUUGCGCGAUUGAAUGAGCCGAUGUCGGAUUAGCUAGUUGGCGGGGUAAAGGCCCACCAAGGCGACGAUCCGUAGCUGGUCUGAGAGGAUGAUCAGCCACACUGGAACUGAGACACGGUCCAGACUCCUACGGGAGGCAGCAGUGGGGAAUAUUGGACAGUGGGCGCAAGCCUGAUCCAGCCAUACCGCGUGGGUGAAGAAGGCCUUCGGGUUGUAAAGCCCUUUUGUUGGGAAAGAAAAGCAGCAGGUUAAUACCCCGCUGUUCUGACGGUACCCAAAGAAUAAGCACCGGCUAACUUCGU